rnacentral:rRNA from 1 species
AUACGGAGGGUGCAAGCGUUACUCGGAAUCACUGGGCGUAAGGCGCGCGCAGGCGGCUAUUUAAGUUGGAUGUGAAAGCCUACGGCUCAACCGUAGAACUGCAUCCAAAACUAUUUAGCUAGAGUGUGGGAGAGGAAGAUGGAAUUAGUUGUGUAGGGGUAAAAUCCGUAGAGAUAACUAGGAAUACCAAAAGCGAAGGCAAUCUUCUGGAACAUUACUGACGCUGAGGCGCGAAAGCGUGGGGAGCAAACAGGAUUAGAAACCCCAGUAGUCC